AGAACGAACGCUGGCGGCAGGCUUAACACAUGCAAGUCGAGCGCACCGCAAGGUGAGCGGCAGACGGGUGAGUAACGCGUGGGAAUCUACCCAACCCUACGGAAUAACACAGGGAAACUUGUGCUAAAUACCGUAUACGCCCUACGGGGGAAAGAUUUAUCGGGGUUGGAUGAGCCCGCGUUGGAUUAGCUAGUUGGUGGGGUAAUGGCCUACCAAGGCGACGAUCCAUAGCUGGUCUGAGAGGAUGAUCAGCCACACUGGGACUGAGACACGGCCCAGACUCCUACGGGAGGCAGCAGUGGGGAAUAUUGGACAAUGGGCGAAAGCCUGAUCCAGCCAUGCCGCGUGAGUGAUGAAGGCCUUAGGGUUGUAAAGCUCUUUCAGUGGGAAGAUAAUGACGGUACCCACAGAAGAAGCCCCGGCUAACUUCGCGCCAGCAGCCGC
rnacentral:rRNA from 1 species